UCGGGAAUUUUGGGCAAUGGGCGAAAGCCUGACCCAGCAACGCCGCGUGAAGGAUGAAGUAUUUCGGUAUGUAAACUUCGAAAGAAUAGGAAGAAUCAAUGACGGUACUAUUUAUAAGGUCCGGCUAACUACGUGCCAGCAGCCGCGGUAAUACGUAGGGACCAAGCGUUGUUCGGAUUUACUGGGCGUAAAGGGCGCGUAGGCGGCAUGACAAGUCACUUGUGAAAUCUCCGGGCUUAACUCGGAACGGCCAAGUGAUACUGUCACGCUAGAGUAUUGGAGGGGCAAUCGGAAUUCUUGGUGUAGCGGUGAAAUGCGUAGAUAUCAAGAGGAACACCUGAGGUGAAGACGGGUUGCUGGCCAAAUACUGACGCUGAGGCGCGAAAGCCAGGGGAGCAAACGGG
rnacentral:rRNA from 1 species